UCAUGCCAUUUAGGAUCAUAUUGAUCCAAGAACUAUAAGGCAUUACUUCAUUGAGGCCAAUGGAGAUAAUUCUUCAAUAGCCAUAAUUCCACUUGUCUGAAUGCUACAAAAAUUGACUUCUAAAUCACCAGAGUAGCAGUGCAGCAGCUAAUGAGGACAAGAAGAGCAAUUGGAAGGGUAGCACUGACAGUGCAUGUUUAUGAAAUUCAAGGAGGAGGAUUCCCCACACUCUUCCCCUGCUCCAGUGUGGUGUCCCUUCCCAGGGGAGACAGCCCUCAAUGAACCUCUCCAAUGUGAGUCCUUCCCACAGGCUGCAGUUCUUCACAAACUGCUCCAACGUGGGUCCCUUCCACAGGGUGCAAUCCUUCAGGAGCAGACUGCUUCAGUAACCUGUUGUUGGUUGUUGCAAAGUAUGUAUUAAAAUAACACACUUGGGCUCCAACUGGAAGAAGAGAGCUCCGUCAGUGCGUUAGAACUGGAGAAGGUAAGUACAUCCAGGUGGUAUAGUUUGUAGUUCUGCUUCAAAAUCUGAAGGAAUUAGCAAAUGUCUUGCCUAUUAAAGGCAUACUUCUAUUAGAACAGAAGUAUAGUCACAGUGUUCUUGAAUAAAUUAAGGAUCUAUCCAAGGUACUGGAAUGGGGAAUGUUUUAAGUUUUGGUACUGCUUGAAAUGGAUUUUCUUAUGCCUUGAUUCUGAUUUGACAUUUUUCAGACUCAUGUAACUGCAUGACCUUUAAUAAAAUGACACCCGAGUGAUACCUAUGGUGGGGGGAAGAGAAAAACAGCAGGUCUCCUUCUCAUCCCAGUGGCCUACGAUCUCUCUGCCUCAUUCACAAAAAACCAUGGGAGCUUGAAAAAGCCAAGAUUUCAACCAAAAGAAACCGUCAUUCGAGUGAGUUGUCUAAUGAACAUAAAAACUAGCAAAGUUGGAAGAUUUGCUUUUGUCUGUAUGUGGUGAUAUCAGAUGAGAAAACAGGAUGUCUAUUUUGGAAGCAGCUAACCUGUAACAUGUACAAAUCAAUAGGAAUUUUAACUCCUCUGUAACACUGAUAAAAACCAAUGCAAGUUUGUGGCACUUAUUUAAUUUUAUUUGCCCUGCACGCCAAUGGUGCUAAAAAUAGAUCACUGUCAAAUAUUGUGAAAUAUCAAGCAGAAUUAAAUCUCUGUGGCUAUUAAUUUUCCCCAUGAAUUUUGCUGCUUCUUAAAUGAAAACAUAUUCCAAACUUUUUUUAACAAAGCACCUAUUUAGGUCUACGUGGCUGGACCUCUUUGGUCUUCUAUGUGUUUUUGACAAUAGUGCCCACUCUGGCCAGAAUGAACCUGAGCUGGUUACAAGUCAAAAGGCUGGCAU